UACGUAGGGUGCGAGCGUUGUCCGGAAUUAUUGGGCGUAAAGAGCUCGUAGGCGGUGUGUCACGUCGGCCGUGAAAACCUGGGGCUUAACUCUGGGCGUGCGGUCGAUACGGGCAUCACUAGAGUUCGGCAGGGGAGACUGGAAUUCCUGGUGUAGCGGUGAAAUGCGCAGAUAUCAGGAGGAACACCGGUGGCGAAGGCGGGUUUCUGGGCCGAUACUGACGCUGAGGAGCGAAAGCAUGGGGAGCGAACAGG
rnacentral:rRNA from 1 species